rnacentral:rRNA from 1 species
GACGGAGGAUGCAAGCGUUAUCCGGAAUGAUUGGGCGUAAAGCGUCCGCAGGUGGCAGUUCAAGUCUGCUGUCAAAGACCGGGGCUUAACUUCGGAAAGGCAGUGGAAACUGAACAGCUAGAGUAUGGUAGGGGCAGAGGGAAUUCCUGGUGUAGCGGUGAAAUGCGUAGAGAUCAGGAAGAACAUCGGUGGCGAAGGCGGCAUCCUGGACCAAUUCUGACGCUGAGGAGCGAAAGCCAGGGGAGCAAACGGG